rnacentral:rRNA from 1 species
AGCGAACGCUGGCGGCAGGCUUAACACAUGCAAGUCGAACGCCCCGCAAGGGGAGUGGCAGACGGGUGGGUAACACGUGGGAACGUACCCUUUGGUUCGGAAUAACUUGGGGAAACUCAAGCUAAUACCGGAUAAGCCAUUAUGGGGAAAGGUUUACUGCCGAAGGAUCGGCCCGCGUCUGAUUAGCUAGUUGGUGAGGUAAUGGCUCACCAAGGCGACGAUCAGUAGCUGGUCUGAGAGGAUGAUCAGCCACACUGGGACUGUGACACGGCCCAGACUCCUACGGGAGGCAGCAGUGGGGAAUAUUGGACAAUGGGGGCAACCCUGAUCCAGCCAUGCCGCGUGAGUGAUGAAGGCCUUAGGGUUGUAAAGCUCUUUUACCCGGGACGAUAAUGACUGUACCGGGAGAAUAAGCCCCGGCUAACUUCGUGCCAGCAGCCGCGGUAA